rnacentral:rRNA from 1 species
AGAGUUGAUCAUGGCUCAGGAUGAACGCUAGCGACAGGCUUAACACAUGCAAGUCGAGGGGCAGCAGUAAAAGUAGCAAUACUUGGUGGCGACCGGCGCACGGGUGAGUAACGCGUAUGCAACCUACCUAUCAGAGGGGAAUAACCCGGCGAAAGUCGGACUAAUACCGCAUAAAACAGGGACACCGCAUGGUGAUAUUUGUUAAAGAAAUUCGCUGAUAGAUGGGCAUGCGUUCCAUUAGGUAGUUGGUGAGGUAACGGCUCACCAAGCCGACGAUGGAUAGGGGAACUGAGAGGUUGGUCCCCCACACUGGUACUGAGACACGGACCAGACUCCUACGGGAGGCAGCAGUGAGGAAUAUUGGUCAAUGGGCGAGAGCCUGAACCAGCCAAGUCGCGUGAAGGAAGAAGGAUCUAUGGUUCGUAAACUUCUUUUGCAGGGGAAUAAAGUGCAGGACGUGUCCUGUUUUGUAUGUACCCCUGAGAAUAAGGAUCGGCUAACUCCGUGCCAGCCGCGGC